GCUGACUGAACACCUCUAAGUCAGAAUCCCGCCUAAACAUAACCAUACCGCAGCGCCGCGGGAAUUUGAUUGGCCUGGGAUAGCCGGUCGACCCCCCCGGGGCCGGCCGGUGUGGAGAGCCGUUCGUGACUGGACCGGGGUGCGGCCGAACGAGUGCCGCCCCUCUCUGGAGACGCACCGCAUGUUUGUGGAGAACCCGGUGCUAAAUGACUCGUAGACGACCUGAUUCUGGGUCAGGGUUUCGUGCGUGGCGGAGCAGCUCACUCGCUGCGAUCCAUUGAAAGUCAUCCCUCGAUCCAAAAUCAGGUAGUCUAUG